CCUACGGGAGGCAGCAGUGAGGAAUAUUGGUCAAUGGGCGCGAGCCUGAACCAGCCAAGUCGCGUGAAGGAUGACUGCCCUACGGGUUUUAAACUUCUUUUAUAAAGGAAUAAGGUGAGGCACGUGUGCCUUUUUGUAUGUACUUUAUGAAUAAGGAUCGGCUAACUCCGUGCCAGCAGCCGCGGUCAUACGGAGGAUCCGAGCGUUAUCCGGAUUUCUUGGGUUUAAAGGGAGCGUAGAUGGGUUGGUAAGUCAGUUGUGAAAGUGUGCGGCUCAACCGUAAAAUUGCAAUUGAUACUGGCAGUCUUGAGUACAGGUGAGGUAGGCGGAAUUCGUGGUGUAGCGGUGAAAUGCGUAGAUAUCACGAAGAACACCGAUUGCGAAGGCAGCUUACUAAACUGCCACUGACAUUGAUGCUCGAAAGUGUGGGUAGCAAACAGGAUUAGAUACCCCAGUAGUC
rnacentral:rRNA from 1 species